GAUGAACGCUGGCGGCGUGCCUAAUACAUGCAAGUAGAACGCUGAAGGAGGAGCUUGCUCUUCUGGAUGAGUUGCGAACGGGUGAGUAACGCGUAGGUAACCUGCCUGGUAGCGGGGGAUAACUAUUGGAAACGAUAGCUAAUACCGCAUGACAACAGUUAUUGCAUGAUAACUGUUUAAAAGGGGCAACUGCUCCACUACCAGAUGGACCUGCGUUGUAUUAGCUAGUUGGUGAGGUAACGGCUCACCAAGGCGACGAUACAUAGCCGACCUGAGAGGGUGAUCGGCCACACUGGGACUGAGACACGGCCCAGACUCCUACGGGAGGCAGCAGUAGGGAAUCUUCGGCAAUGGACGGAAGUCUGACCGAGCAACGCCGCGUGAGUGCAGAAGGUUUUCGGAUCGUAAAGCUCUGUUGUAAGAGAAGAACGAGUGUGAGAGUGGAAAGUUCACACUGUGACGGUAUCUUACCAGAAAGGGACGGCUAACUACGUG
rnacentral:rRNA from 1 species